AAGAAAGGCUUCUAUCGUGAGGGGUACCUGUGGGGCAACUCAACUGCUCUUCAUGCAGAAAUGACAUCAAGAGACUUUGGAAGCAUAAUUUUUUGGUACCUUGGCAGCUGGUCAUUGUUGGUCCCAGUCCCAGU
ensembl:snRNA